rnacentral:rRNA from 1 species
UGGCGGACGGGUGAGUAACACGUGGGUAACCUACCCAUCAGAGGGGGAUAACUACUGGAAACGGUAGCUAAUACCGCAUAACGUCGCAAGACCAAAGAGGGGGACCUUAGGGCCUCUUGCCAUCGGAUGUGCCCAGAUGGGAUUAGCUAGUAGGUGGGGUAACGGCUCACCUAGGCGACGAUCCCUAGCUGGUCUGAGAGGAUGACCAGCCACACUGGAACUGAGACACGGUCCAG